rnacentral:rRNA from 4 species
UAGAGUCUCCUGAAGGAACGUUGAAGACGACGACGUUGAUAGGCCGGGUGUGUAAGCGCAGCGAUGCGUUGAGCUAACCGGUACUAAUGAACCGUGAGGCUUAACCUUACAACGCCGAAG